GGUAGGUCUUAUAGCUUUUUUCCUUAGUUUACUUGAAAGGGAAACAAGUAGCUUCUUGCUGAAAUGCAUAGAGGCGCAGUAUACGUGGCCCAUACGAACUGACAAUGAAAUGAUACGAGUGAAACCCAAGUGCAGAAGGUCUAAAGGGCCA